rnacentral:lncRNA from 1 species
UGCCAGUCUUGGUAUAGAACAACCUUGGCUUAUCUGUUGAAGUCCCAUAGGUAGUAUUAUUAGAGAAUAACCCAGACUUUGGGAACUGUAUAACUCUGAGAUCAUUUGAAAUUUUCGUUUUGUUUUUCUUUUGGCUCCAACCAGGCCCCUGUUGUUAGUCUAGUGGGGUUUCCCCCUGCAAAGAUUGGUCAGAUCUGCUGUCUAUCAUCCUGGAAGGUGUUAAAUACACAGGAAGUCCAGUCUCAGUGGGCAGGACCUAGCCUGAAAGGGCGGGCAUUGCUAAUGUGUUUUCAAAAGGUCUUCCCAAUCGUCUGCUUUAGACAGAUCGGACCUUAGAACACAACGGAUCCUCAAGUGACUGACGACCCAAAGCAUUGAUGAUGUCACAGUCAUCUGAAUCAGGAGAUGGGAGUGAUGAUGAGGCUACUACCUCUAAAAACGGUGGUUUUUCUUCCCCCAGUCCCUCAGCUGCUGCUGCUGCUCAGGAGGUCAGAUCUGCCACUGAUGGUAAUACCAGCACCACUCCGCCCACCUCUGCCAAGAAGAGAAAGUUAAACAGCAGCAGCAGUAGCAGCAGUAACAGUAGUAACGAGAGAGAAGACUUUGAUUCCACCUCUUCCUCCUCUUCCACUCCUCCUUUACAACCCAGGGAUUCGGCAUCCCCUUCAACCUCGUCCUUCUGCCUGGGGGUUUCAGUGGCUGCUUCCAGCCACGUACCGAUACAGAAGAAGCUGCGUUUUGAAGACACCCUGGAGUUUGUAGGGUUUGAUGCGAAGAUGGCUGAGGAAUCCUCCUCCUCCUCCUCCUCAUCUUCACCAACUGCUGCAACAUCUCAGCAGCAGCAACUUAAAAAUAAGAGUAUAUUAAUCUCUUCUGUGGCUUCGGUGCAUCAUGCAAACGGCCUAGCCAAAUCUUCUACCACCGUCUCUAGCUUUGCUAACAGCAAGCCUGGCUCUGCUAAGAAGUUAGUGAUCAAGAACUUUAAAGAUAAGCCUAAAUUACCAGAAAACUACACAGAUGAAACCUGGCAAAACUGAAAGAAGCAGUGGAAGCUAUUCAGAAUAGUACUUCAAUUAAGUACAAUUUAGAAGAACUGUACCAGGUAUGUAUUAAUAUGCAUAACCAGAUUUGAUUAACAUAAAUCAAGGUGGGAUGUAUAUUGAUUUUGCUUU